rnacentral:rRNA from 1 species
AGGUUACUGACGUCAGCCAAACUCCGAAUGCCGGUAAGUGAGAGCGUGGCAGUGAGACUGCGGGCGAUAAGGUUCGUAGUCGAGAGGGAAACAGCCCAGAUCACCGACUAAGGCCCCUAAGCGUGUGCUAAGUGGGAAAGGAUGUGGAGUCGCAGAGACAACCAGGAGGUUGGCUUAAAGCAGCCACCCUUGAAAGAGUGCGUAAUAGCUCACUGGUCAAGUGAUUCCGCGCCGACAAUGUAGCGGGGCUCAAGUACACCGCCGAAGUCGUGGCAUUGAUGCAGAUUCGUCUGUGUUGAUGGGUAGGGGAGCGUCGUGCAGCCGGCGAAGCAGCAGAGUGAUCUAGUUGUGGAGGCUGUGCGAGUGAGAAUGCAGGCAUGAGUAGCGAAUCGAGGGUGAGAAACCCUCGCGCCGAAUGACCAAGGGUUCCUGGGGCAGGCUAAUCCGCCCAGGGUAAGUCGGGACCUAAGGCGAGGCCGACAGGCGUAGUCGAUGGACAACGGGUUGAUAUUCCCGUACCCGCUUCAAUGCGCCCAUAUCGAACCUCGUGAUGCUAAGAGUCCUUAAGUCCUCUGAUGUCCUUCGGGACUAGGGGUGAGGCUGAACGCUCGAUCCGAUCGGGUAGUAGGUAAGCGAUGGGGUGACGCAGGAAGGUAGUCCAGCCCAGGCGAUGGUUGUCCUGGGGUAAGCAUGUAGGGCGUGUCGUAGGUAAAUCCGCGGCAUUUAAGCCUGAGAUGUGAUGCCGAGCCGAUUGUGGUGAAGUGGAUGAUCCUAUGCUGCCGAGAAAAGCCUCUAGUGAGUGUUGUGGCGGCCCGUACCCUAAACCGACUCAGGUGGUCAGGUAGAGAAUACCAAGGCGAUCGGGUGAACUGUGGUUAAGGAACUCGGCAAAUUGCCCCCGUAACUUCGGGAGAAGGGGGACCUCUGUUGGUGAUGGGCUUUACGCCUGGAGCUGGUGGGGGUCGCAGUGGCCAGGGGGAAGCGACUGUUUACUAAAAACACAGGUCCGUGCGAAGUCGUAAGACGAUGUAUACGGACUGACGCCUGCCCGGUGCCGGAACGUUAAGGGGACCGCUUAGCUGACGUGAGUUGGCGAAGGUGAGAACUUAAGCGCCGGUAAACGGCGGUGGUAACUAUAACCAUCCUAAGGUAGCGAAAUUCCUUGUCGGGUAAGUUCCGACCUGCACGAAUGGCGUAACGACUUCCCCGCUGUCUCAACCGCAGACCCGGCGAAAUUGCACUACGAGUAAAGAUGCUCGUUUCGCGCAGCAGGACGGAAAGACCCCGGGACCUUCACUACAGCUUGACAUUGGCGUUUGGAACGUCUUGUGUAGGAUAGGUGGGAGACUGGGAAGCUGUCACGCUAGUGAUGGUGGAGUCAUUGGUGAAAUACCACUCUGGUCGUUUUGAACGUCUAACUCUGGUCCGUGAUCCGGAUCGGGGACAGUGUCUGGUGGGUAGUUUAACUGGGGCGGUUGCCUCCUAAAGAGUAACGGAGGCGCCCAAAGGUUCCCUCAGCCUGGUUGGCAAUCAGGUGUUGAGUGUAAGUGCACAAGGGAGCUUGACUGUGAGACUGACAGGUCGAGCAGGAGCGAAAGCUGGGACUAGUGAUCCGGCAUCGGCGUAC